GAUGAAGAACGUAGCGAAAUGCGAUAAGUAAUGUGAAUUGCAGAAUUCAGUGAAUCAUCGAAUCUUUGAACGCACAUUGUGCCCGCCAGUAUUCUGGCGGGCAUGCCUGUUCGAGCGUCAUUUCAACCAUCAAGCCCCCGGGCUUGUGUUGGGGACCUGCGGCUGCCGCAGGCCCUGAAAAGCAGUGGCGGGCUCGCUGUCACACCGAGCGUAGUAGAUUUUAUCUCGCUCAGGGCGUGCUGCGGGUUCCGGCCGUUAAACCACCUUCAUAACCCAAGGUUGACCUCGGAUCAGGUAGGAAGACCCGCUGAACUUAAGCAUAUCAAUAAGCGGAGGA
rnacentral:misc_RNA from 1 species